rnacentral:rRNA from 1 species
GGAAACGUCUGCUAAUACCGCAUAGGACAUGGAAUCACAUGAUUCCGUGAGGAAAGGUGGCGCAAGCUAUCGCUAAGAGAUGGACCCGCGGUGCAUUAGCUAGUUGGUAGGGUAACGGCCUACCAAGGCGAUGAUGCAUAGCCGACCUGAGAGGGUGAUCGGCCACAUUGGGACUGAGACACGGCCCAAACUCCUACGGGAGGCAGCAGUAGGGAAUCUUCCGCAAUGGACGCAAGUCUGACGGAGCAACGCCGCGUGAGUGAAGAAGGUCUUCGGAUCGUAAAGCUCUGUUGUUAGAGAAGAACAGCGCAUAGAGUAACUGUUAUGCGUGUGAC